rnacentral:rRNA from 1 species
UACAGAGGGUGCGAGCGUUAAUCGGAAUGAUUGGACGUAAAGGGCGCGUAGGCGGAUGAUCAAGUGGUAGGUGAAAGACCUGGGCUUAACCUGGGGAGGUCCUAUCAGACUGAUUGUCUAGAGUGAGGUAGAGGAAGGUGGAAUUUCGGGUGUAGCGGUGAAAUGCGUAGAUAUCAGGAGGAACACCUGUGGCGAAAGCGGCUCACUGGACCAUAACUGACGCUGAUGCACGAAAGCUAGGGGAGCAAACAGG